rnacentral:rRNA from 1 species
UACAGAGGGUGCGAGCGUUGUCCGGAAUCACUAGGCGUAAAGGGCGCGUAGGUGGCUGGGUAAGCGUGCGGUGAAAGCUCGGGGCUCAACCCCGGAACUGCCUCCGAAACUGCCGGUCUGGAGGUCGAGAGAGGCGAGUGGAAUUCCGAGUGUAGAGGUGAAAUUCGUAGAUAUUCGGAGGAACACCAGUGGCGAAGGCGGCUCGCUGGCUCGAACCUGACGCUGAGGUGCGAAAGCGUGGGGAGCAAACAGG